UACGUAGGGCGCAAGCGUUGUCCGGAAUUAUUGGGCGUAAAGAGCUCGUAGGCGGCCUGUUGCGUCCGCUGUGAAAUCCCGGGGCUUAACCCCGGGCCUGCAGUGGGUACGGGCAGACUAGAGUGCGGUAGGGGAGAUUGGAAUUCCUGGUGUAGCGGUGGAAUGCGCAGAUAUCAGGAGGAACACCAAUGGCGAAGGCAGAUCUCUGGGCCGUAACUGACGCUGAGGAGCGAAAGCAUGGGGAGCGAACAGG
rnacentral:rRNA from 1 species